UACGAAGGGGGCUAGCGUUGUUCGGAUUUACUGGGCGUAAAGCGCACGUAGGCGGAUCUUUAAGUCAGAGGUGAAAUCCCAAGGCUCAACCUCGGAACUGCCUUUGAUACUGGGGAUCUUGAGUCCGGGAGAGGUGAGUGGAACUGCGAGUGUAGAGGUGAAAUUCGUAGAUAUUCGCAAGAACACCAGUGGCGAAGGCGGCUCACUGGCCCGGUACUGACGCUGAGGUGCGAAAGCGUGGGGGAGCAAACAGG
rnacentral:rRNA from 1 species